GCGCAGAGGCGGGAAAACAUGGACUGACUGCGAGAGAAAAGCCAGAGUUCCAGUUUGGCUGCACCAAAGGCUACUUUAAGCAUGAAAGAAUAAGCUCGUGGGAACCGCCUCCACCGCCCGGGACUCACCACCCUGAGUCUGAACCGCCCAACGCGGCCUCAACGUCGCGGAGCCGUCGCCAUCUUUCCCGUUUCCUGGUCGCGGAGAUGAACACCCCCCACCCCCCCGGCCGCGAGGCAAGCUGGGAAGGCGAGUUCCUGGAGCUGGGCGGCACAGGCCGACACUGAGGCCUGGAAACUACCAAUCCCAGAAUGCAUGACUUGAGCGCCGGCCCCAGGCUGCGGGGUCUGCCGGGCAAUGUGGUUUGCCAGACGUUAGCGUCCGGGAAGGAAGAGUUUUUCGCCAAUAGGCUUUCGGCAUUAGGUUCUCCCGCCGAGCACCCUUCUUGGAAUCGGCUGGUCUUCCUAGAAACUACGGUCUAUGACUGUCCUUGCCCGUGGCUUACAGUGGAGGAAUUUAAGGGCUUCCUGAGAUAUCUGUAGUACGUAAUUAUAGCUAACAACCGCAGUAACAAUAAAUACCAUUCGUGGAAAA